rnacentral:lncRNA from 1 species
GAAGAAUAAGGAGCGGUAGAAAUGCAACAUAAAUGAUUUUCCAUUGUCAAUUUUUUGUAUAUAUUUUGUGCAUUUUUAUGCCUUCGAUCCAAUACACCUACCCAAUCAACAACGGGGUGGUGAGGUUUGAUUUUGCUGAUUGGAUCAAAUAACAUUUAUCCAAUCUAACUGUGUUUUAAUCGAUUCUAUUAUCCCCACUUAACCCAACCCAGCUAAAAUUUCAAUUAGUUUAAUUUUUAUUUAAAUUAAUCAAAUACGUUGAGCAUGGCAUGAUUAUCGCGGACGUAUUAGCAGGAGG